UACGGAGGGGGCUAGCGUUGUUCGGAAUUACUGGGCGUAAAGGGCGCGCAGGCGGCUGCUCAAGUCAGGCGUGAAAGGCCUGGGCUCAACCCGGGAAUUGCGCUUGAGACUGGGCUGGCUUGAGUGCGGGAGAGGAUGGUGGAAUUCCCAGUGUAGAGGUGAAAUUCGUAGAUAUUGGGAAGAACACCAGUGGCGAAGGCAGCUCGCUGGGACGGUACUGACGCUGAGACGCGAAAGCGUGGGGAGCAAACAGG
rnacentral:rRNA from 1 species